rnacentral:rRNA from 1 species
GACAGAGGUGCCGAGCGUUAGGCGGAAUCACUGGGCUUAAAGCGUGUGUAGGCGGGUCUGUAAGUACCUUGUGAAAUCCCACGGCUCAACCGUGGAACUGCUUGGUAUACUGCGGGUCUUGAGCCACUUAGGGGCAACCGGAACAAACGGUGGAGCGGUGAAAUGCGUAGAUAUCGUUUGGAACGCCAAUGGUGAAAACAGGUUGCUGGGAGUGUGCUGACGCUGAGACACGACAGCGUGGGGAGCAAACAGG